UGAGUUGCCGUGGCAACGCGGUAGCCGGGCGGCUGGUUCCAGCGUCUGGGAUGGCGGCGGGGCUGGAGCCGGUCCGGUCCGCCUUUCCCAGCUUAGAUUCGUGGAUUCCAGAUAAAUCAGAGAAACAAGUGUCAUGAACAGGAAUGUGUAGGAAGUGUGGGGAUGCUGAAACCCAGGCCUAGUUGCAGAAGACCUGGUCUGGGGCACUCACCUUAGAGAAGAGAUUAUUUCCCAAAUCACCUCACUUGUUCUCAGGCUUAUGUUGUAGUAAGUUUCGGUAUGUUUGUAUGUUUGUUUGUUUGUUUUUUUAAAUAAAUGUUGAUAAUCCCUGAAAAUCUCAAAA